AGCAUGGUGGCUCAGUGGUUAGAGCGCCCGCCUCAUGAACGGGAGGUCGUGAGUUCGAACCCCGGCCAAGUCA
rnacentral:tRNA from 1 species